CUGCCCACUCCUACGGGAGGCAGCAGUGGGGAAUAUUGCACAAUGGGCGCAAGCCUGAUGCAGCCAUGCCGCGUGUAUGAAGAAGGCCUUCGGGUUGUAAAGUACUUUCAGCAGUGAGGAAGGUGGGUAUGUUAAUAGCAUACUCAUUUGACGUUAGCUGCAGAAGAAGCACCGGCUAACUCCGUGCCAGCAGCCGCGGUAAUACGGAGGGUGCGAGCGUUAAUCGGAAUUACUGGGCGUAAAGCGCAUGCAGGUGGUUUGUUAAGUCAGAUGUGAAAGCCCGGGGCUCAACCUCGGAAUUGCAUUUGAAACUGGCAAACUAGAGUACUGUAGAGGGGGUAGAAUUUCAGGUGUAGCGGUGAAAUGCGUAGAGAUCUGAAGGAAUACCGGUGGCGAAGGCGGCCCCCUGGACAGAUACUGACACUCAGAUGCGAAAGCGUGGGGAGCAAACAGGAUUAGAUACCCUGGUAG
rnacentral:rRNA from 1 species